rnacentral:tRNA from 1 species
GUUUCCGUAGUGUAGUGGUUAUCACAUCUGCCUAACACGCAGAAGGUCCUGGGUUCGAAACCCAGCGGAAACA